rnacentral:piRNA from 1 species
UGCAAAGUAGGGAGUAUUUUGCCAAACUUG